AUAUUACUAAGCGGAGGAAAAGAAAUCAACGAAGAUUGCCUCAGUAACUGCGAGUGAAGCGGGAAAAGCUCAAAUUUAAAAUCUGGCGGUCUCCGGCUGUCCGAGUUGUAAUCUAGAGAAGUGUUAUCCGCGCUGGACCGUGUACAAGUCUCCUGGAAUGGAGCGUCAUAGAGGGUGAGAAUCCCGUCUUUGACACGGACUGCCAGGGCUUUGUGAUGCGCUCUCAAAGAGUCGAGUUGUUUGGGAAUGCAGCUGGGUUAAC
rnacentral:rRNA from 1 species